ensembl:snoRNA
CACCAAGCCUCGAGUGCACUCGGGUCUGCAGUGACCCUGUGCACUGCUACAGUGCUUGUCAGAACAGCUUGUGAGAUGGCUUCAGACUUUGUUCUGCCUUCUCCAGGACAAGUUAUAAAACCUUCAGACAAUA